CUAAAAGCGACCGCUCCUGAACACCGGUGGCCUGCCUGGAGGAGGAGCAUGGGGGAGGGAAACACCCUUGAAUCUUUAACAUCAGCAAUUGGAAGAAGUUUGGUUAUGUGAACAGCAGCAAUCAAGUUCAUCUCAAGCAGACUGCAUGUACUUAGAAGAAUGUGACUGCUGAAGGAGACAAGGCAUCCCGAUACUGCCAAGGCUAAUCUUGAGGCUCAAGUGAUCUUCCUGCCUCAGCCUUCUGAGUACUGGGACCAUAGAUCAAAAGCUUUGAAGAUGGAUGCAAAGUGAAAGAUGAAGAAAUUUAAGUUACCCAAGCAACCUCAGAAACCACGUGGCCUCAAUAUUCUCAGGAAAAAAGUGCCUCUUCAAAAGUUUUCUACUUAACAUUUCCAAAUGGACUGUACCUCUUCUAGAUAAUGGCUGUUUCUCAAAGAAUCACAUCUGCCUUUUCUUUCACCUUGGAGAACUUUCCUCACUGUCCUCAGCUCUUCUAGCACCACAUGAAAAGUCAGACCAGGUCUACAUGGCUGGUUCCCUGCUCUGAGGGAAAGAGACAUGAUGUAAGAAGAAGGUGCAAGGAUGACGGAUGUUUCCAUAAACCACGGGCCAAGGUUCUGCUUUUCUGGCAUUCUAGUCACUUCAGGCAUAACUGAGAAACAGCAUGAUCUUCAAGUCCAGCAUAAUCAGCCAGUAAGCUUUCACGUGAACUGCAAAUACAAAUAGACUAGUUUUCUCUUUCCUUGUGUAACAAAAAGAUCAGGGAUCUUUCCUCUGUAACACAGGCUUAAGCCUGUACACAUAGUUAUGAAGCCCCAAGUCUUUUAUCCAUGGAGAAAAGAAAACCAGUACAACAAAUAGAUUUCCAUGCUCAUGAAAAAGUCACUAGACACUAAGGUCUAUGAAAAGAGCGUGUUUGGUUUGUUUAUGAUUGUACUGCUAUUAAUUUGCAGAGCCUAAAAUAUAAUACUUCAUAUUUAUUCAGGAAAAACUAAAUUGAAGAAAUGGUACCAGCCUUAUUAAAUGCAAUUAGAUUCUUGUAGUUCUCCAGCAUCACAUCUCUGUAUAAGUUUCUCUGAGUUUGGUCCAGCAAAAUCCAUUCCUCCUGGGUCAAGUUCACAUCCUCAAAGGACACUGAGUCCUAAACCAUAACAAACAUGCUGGCAUGAGACAAGUUACCAUCUCUACUAUGUCCUUUGGAGGAGAAUGAGGGACCCACUGCUUUGAUGGGUUCCAUGGUCUUCUAUCACUUGAUGGUCCUCACUGCUCUUCUCUUUUCUAUCUGUUCAUAUUCAGUGGUGAUCUAAUUUAGUCACAUGGCUUUAAGAGCAUCUCUUUCACCUAACUGCAUCUUACCAUGUUAAACAGUGAUCCCUUCUGGCCUUCUUUUUCUCCACUAACAGGUUUUACUGUAGUCGUGAGCACAUUACAGGCACUCAAAUAAAAGGUUCAGUGAACAUAAAUUCUGAGAAGUACGUUCAUUCUCUCCUUUGCAGUCUACCAUAGAAAAAUGAAAGUGUACAAUCAAGCAUAAAUGAAAUUUAGAUUAGUAAGUACUGGAAUAAUGGUAUUACUUCCUUAUGUAAUUUGUUAACCACAUGAGAGGCUAUAACUUGAGGAAAUCUCACUGGAAACUUAGUCCCUAAGUCCUCUUUGUUUGAAAAAGUUCUUUUCCACUUAGAGGAAAUACAGUUACUUGAUAGAAAGCAGCAUAUUUUUCCACUGAAAAGUCAAUUUCCUACUUACCUGAGAAUAAUUUGUCAACCACUCGGUCACCAUACUUUCUUCUUCUGAUUUUGCCUCAUGAAGACAGAAAAGGUCUUGAGGAUCUUGAGAAGAGAAAAUAAAACCUGAGACCCCAGGAUGCCCACAGUUUCCAUACUCACAAGCCUGGAAGCCACUCCGUACAAAUUCUAAGUUGCCAUAAAAUGCUGAGCAGCCUGUCUUACCUGAAAUCAGAAAAAGGGUUUAAGGCUCUGAUAACCAGGAAGAAGAAUUUAUUAAUGUCAUUUUCUAGAAAAAGAAAUGAAAGUCUAGCAGAACCUCUCCCACAAAAGCGUUCUUCCUUCCCAAAUCCCAGGAUUUAGACAACAGGAUAUUUAUAUCUACUUCAGCCCCCCGCUGCUCAGAAGCAGUACAGAGUAGACACUGGACUCUGAUAACAAGCUGUUCACAGGCUAGUUAAAGAAGGGAACUGACUUACCACAUGGGGAAAGACCAAUGGCCAGCGUGUCUGAAAUGAGUGAACAGGUUACUCUCGAUUCCUUUUGGUUAAGUAAUAAUGGAGUCUUGUCUCAUACCAUGAAUCUUUAAGCAACAGGCAUUACUCAUUUGUCACCAUCACUCAUUAGUCACCUUUCUGCAGAAGAUGAAAUUAUUUAUGUUUAUGCCAUUAGAAACUGUAGAGUACUAUACCUCACAGAUAUAACUAAUAACAGUUGUGAUUUGUAUGCCAGAAACAGUAGCAGCAUAAGGUCACAUGAUUAUUGUCAUGGUUUGGAUAUGAGGAGUACCUCUAAAGUGAAGGAAUGUUAGUUAAGUGAUGUUUAACAGUGAAAUGAGUAGAUUAUAAGAGCUGUCAGCUCAUCAUUGGAUUAAUCCAUUUGAUGCAUUAGUAAUUUGAAUGGAAUAGUAGGUGAUAACUGUAGGCAAACAGGGUGUGCCUAGAGGAAGUAGAUCUCUGGGGCUGUGCCCUUGGGGAUUAUAUUUUGUCCCUAGCUCCUCACUCUCUCCAUCUCCUGGCCACCAUGAGCUGGGCAACUUUUCCCAAUUCGUCCUUUUGCCAUGAUGCUCUGCCUCCCCUCUGGCCUCUGGAGUGGGGCUGAUCAUGCACUGAACCUCUGAAACUCUGAGUCCAAAAUAGACUUUUCCUCCUUUAAAUUAUUCUUGUCAGGUAUUUUGGUCACAGUGACAAAAAGGUGAUUAACACAACUAGAUUUUAUCCAUAUCUAUCCCUAAAGAAUCUACCAAAAAACUAUUAGAACUAGUAGAUUCAGUAAAGCUGUAAGAUAAAAUAAUAAUAUAUAAAAAUCAAUUGGGUUUCUAUAACUAAUAAUGAACUAUCCAAAAAAGAAAUUAAGAAAACAAUCCCAUUCAACAGAAUAAAAAACAAUGAACUACUUAGGAAUAGAUUUAACCAAGAUGGUCAAAGGUCUGUACACUGCCGACUACACAAUAUUGAAGAAGCCAUCCUAUAGUCAGAGACUGGAAGAUAAUGCUGCCUAACACAGGAUUUGGGGUCAUUUGACAACCAGAGAUUGGGGGUACACAUUUUGCUUAAGAAUCAUCAAAAAAUUAGCACCCAGAUAGCAAUGAAAACCCCUCUGUCCUGGUUUGAAUCCUGAUCCUGUCCUCAUAUACUAACAAGUGAUUCCUUGCAUGAUCGAACUUCCUUCAGGCUCUUGAACCUUUUCUGAAGCUCACCUGCACAACUACUUGUGAAACCCAGUUUUAGCAAGAACCCUGUUGAAGUCAGUUUACCCAGAACUCCUGUCUUCCCAUACACUCCCCUAUUUUAAAGCUCAAGGGCCAGCAAGGGUCGGGGCAUAGCUCAGUGGUAGAGCUCUUGCCUAGCAUGCUUAAAGGCCUGAGUUCCAUUCCCAACACACCACUACCAAAAACGCUCUAGGGAAUUUAGAAGGUUCUAAACUGGGAUAGAGGUGAUGAUUUGGGAACAGAGUAGUCCUGCUCUUUCUCAGUGGCAAUUCUGUAUUUAUUUAUUUAUUCAUUAAUUUUUAAAUUUGUUCUAAUUAAUUGCACAUGACAGAUUUAUGCACUUUGAUAUCUCAU